rnacentral:rRNA from 1 species
UACAGGGGGUGCAAACGUUGCUCGGAAUCAUUGGGCGUAAAGCGCACGUAGGCGGUCUGUUAUGUCGGAUGUGAAAGCCCUUGGCUCAACUGGGGAAGUGCAUCCGAAACUGGCAGGCUAGAGUACUAAAGAGGAUCGCGGAAUUCCCGGUGUAGAGGUGAAAUUCGUAGAUAUCGGGAGGAACACUGGUGGCGAAGGCGGCGAUCUGGGUAGAUACUGACGCUGAGGUGCGAAAGCGUGGGGAGCAAACAGG